CCCUCUCUCUUUCGCAGAUCAACACACACAAGACUCGCUUAUACAAAACCUCUCUCUAUCUCUCUCUCUCUCUUUCAGAAUUUAGAACUCGUUCACCUGGAUCUCUAGCUCUCGCGAUCUGCAAAAAUGCCUCUCAGACUCGAAAUCAAGAGGAAACUUGCUCAAAGAUCGGAGAGAGUAAAGUCAGUUGAUCUACAUCCAACAGAACCAUGGAUUCUAGUGAGUUUGUAUUCAGGGACUGUGUGUAUCUGGAACUACCAGUCACAGACCAUGGCAAAGUCUUUUGAGGUCACUGAGUUGCCAGUUAGGUCAGCCAAGUUCAUAGCACGAAAGCAGUGGGUUGUUGCUGGAGCUGAUGACAUGUAUAUUCGUGUGUACAACUACAACACAAUGGAUAAGAUUAAAGUUUUCGAGGCUCAUACAGAUUACAUUAGAUGUGUGGCCGUCCAUCCUACCCUUCCAUAUGUGUUGUCAUCAUCUGAUGACAUGCUUAUAAAACUUUGGGAUUGGGAGAAGGGAUGGGCUUGUACUCAGAUAUUUGAGGGACAUUCCCAUUAUGUGAUGCAAGUUACUUUUAAUCCUAAAGACACCAACACUUUUGCAAGUGCAUCCCUUGAUCGCACCAUAAAGAUUUGGAAUCUUGGCUCUCCCGACCCAAAUUUUACUCUGGAUGCCCACCAGAAAGGAGUAAAUUGUGUUGAUUACUUCACAGGUGGAGAUAAACCUUAUCUAAUCACUGGCUCUGAUGAUCACACUGCGAAGGUAUGGGACUAUCAAACGAAAAGCUGUGUCCAGACCUUGGAAGGCCACACACACAAUGUCUCUGCUGUAUGUUUUCAUCCUGAACUUCCAAUAAUAAUAACAGGUUCUGAAGAUGGGACUGUUCGUAUAUGGCAUUCAACAACUUACAGGCUUGAGAACACCUUGAAUUAUGGCUUGGAACGAGUUGGGGCUGUUGGAUACAUGAAAGGUUCACGCCGUGUUGUGAUUGGGUAUGAUGAAGGAACCAUUAUGGUCAAGAUCGGUCGAGAAGAACCUGUGGCUAGCAUGGAUAAUAGUGGAAAGAUUAUAUGGGCGAAGCACAAUGAAAUUCAGACUGUGAAUAUUAAGAGUGUGGGGGCAGAUUUUGAGGUGACUGAUGGUGAAAGAUUGCCUUUGGCUGUUAAGGAGUUGGGAACAUGUGAUCUUUACCCCCAAAGCUUAAAACACAAUCCCAAUGGGAGGUUUGUUGUUGUUUGUGGAGAUGGUGAGUACAUCAUAUAUACAGCUUUAGCAUGGAGAAACAGAUCAUUUGGUUCUGCACUUGAAUUUGUUUGGUCUUCGGAUGGUGAAUAUGCUGUUAGAGAAAGUACAUCAAAGAUUAAGCUUUUCAGUAAAAAUUUCCAGGAAAAGAAGAGUGUCCGGCCAACCUUUUCAGCUGAGCGCAUUUAUGGUGGAACCCUGUUGGCCAUGUGCUCAAAUGAUUUUAUUUGUUUCUAUGACUGGGCUGAAUGCAGGUUGAUUAGGAGAAUUGAUGUUACUGUGAAAAAUCUCUAUUGGGCUGAUAGCGGAGAUUUAGUGGCCAUUGCUAGUGAUGCAUCAUUCUACAUCCUCAAAUACAAUCGUGAGAUAGUUUCAUCUUAUUUAGAUAAUGGAAAACCUGUGGAUGAACAAGGUGUUGAGGAUGCAUUUGAGCUUCUUCAUGAAACCAAUGAACGUGUCAGAACUGGCUUAUGGGUUGGGGAUUGUUUCAUAUACAAUAACUCCUCCUGGAGGCUCAAUUACUGUGUUGGAGGCGAGGUGACCACCAUGUAUCAUUUGGACCACCCCAUGUACUUGCUUGGGUACCUUGCUAGUCAAAGUCGGGUGUAUUUGAUAGACAAAGAAUUCAAUGUCACGGGGUACACUUUACUUCUUAGCUUAAUUGAGUACAAGACUCUGGUGAUGCGGGGAGAUCUGGAGAGGGCCAGUGAACUUUUACCUUCAAUUCCUAAAGAACAUCAUAAUAGUGUGGCACAUUUCUUGGAAUCACGAGGUAUGAUAGAGGAUGCUCUGGAAGUAGCUACUGACCCUGAUUAUAGAUUUGAGCUAGCUAUACAGCUUGGUAGAUUAGAGGUUGCAAAGGAAAUUGCCAGUGAAGUGCAGAGUGAGUCAAAAUGGAAACAGUUGGGAGAGUUAGCUAUGUCCAAUGGAAAGUUGGAAAUGGCUGAGGAAUGCAUGAGGCAUGCAACAGACUUGAGUGGUUUGCUGCUACUAUAUUCUUCCUUAGGAGAUGCUGAAGGGAUAUCAAAGCUUGGAUCCCUGGCAAUAGAACAGGGGAAGAUUAAUGUUGCAUUCCUUUGUUUAUUCAUGUUGGGCAAAGUUGAAGACUGCCUCCAGCUGUUGGUGGAACGCAAUCGGAUACCUGAGGCUGCAUUAAUGGCACGAUCUUAUCUUCCCAGCAAGGUUUCAGAGAUUGUUGCACUUUGGAGGAAAGACCUGAACAAGGUUAAUCCAAAAGCUGCUGAAUCUCUGGCUGAUCCUGAAGAAUACCCAAAUAUGUUUGAUGAUUGGCAAGUUGCUUUAUCUGUUGAAUCUACAGCUGCAGAAAGAAGGGGCGUGUAUCCUCCUGCAGAGGACUACCAAACACAUGCUGAUAAACCUCACAUCACCCUUGUGGAGUCUUUCAGAAACAUGCAAAUAGAAGAGGAGGAACCUCUUGAAAAUGGAGACUUUGAUCAUGAGGCUGAAGAAGAGAAUGUAGAUGAACAGAAUGGCGAGGAAGGGAGCCAAGAGGAAGCAGUUGUGGUGGAUGCAGAGUCUACAGAUGGUGCUGUACUCGUUAAUGGAAACGAGCCUGAGGAAGAGUGGGGUACGAAUAAUGAAGGAACCCCGUCAGCCUAAAAGCAAAUUGGUUGGGGCAGUGUGAAAAUCCAAAUUUUGUCUCUGGUGAUUAAUUGAUUCUGUGCUUACUCCACGCCACUAGGUCCUGCUUUCAAGACAAUUGAUCCAGCUGUAUUAGUCCCCGAUAAGGUGAGAAAAGCAUGCUUAGAUAUAAUGGAUAGGUUUUGAAUAUAGAGAUGAACAAGUUUGAACAGAGUACUGGUAAAUGCAACCACCGUGUGGUUUGGUGCAAGUAUUGAAGAAACUCCACUAGAAGUGGGAUCUAGCAGAAAGUUCUCACCACAAAUACAUAAAUGAAAUUUUGUGUACCAUUAGGUUGUGACCUUUAACGAAUUAUGUUUUGGAUAGGGCACUUCAACUUCAUUCAAGUUGAUUAUUUUUUUUUUUGUAUGAUUUUCCAUAUGCAAAUGAAUUUGGGCAAAUGCAUGGCUAGGAUUGAUGAUGAUUUUUUUACAGAGAAUUUCAAACA